rnacentral:misc_RNA from 1 species
ACAAAUCCGAUAAUGGGUUGUGAGGUUAUACUCAUAGUCCAAUAUUUAACCGCUAGUUCUCCGGGACUAGUUGGAUAUAUAUAUGUGUGAAUGUAGACAGUGUGUGUAUUAAAUUUAUUGA